rnacentral:rRNA from 1 species
UUCUGGGAGGAUUGACAGAUUGAGAGCUCUUUCUUGAUUCGGUGGAUGGUGGUGCAUGUCCGUUCUUAGUUGGUGGAGCGAUUUGUCUGGUUAAUUCCGAUAACGAACGAGACUCUAGCCUAAUAAAUAGGUGCGUGGUUCUCUGCACCUUGCGCCCUGCCGCACGAAACAGAGCAAUAACAGGUCUGUGUCUGUGAUAGCCUUAGAU